rnacentral:rRNA from 1 species
AGUGAACGCUGGCGGCGUGCCUAAUACAUGCAAGUCGAACGAUGAAGUCCUAGCUUGCUAGGAUGGAUUAGUGGCGCACGGGUGAGUAAUAUAUAGUUAAUCUGCCCUACACAGAGGAACAACAGUUGGAAACGGCUGCUAAUACCUCAUACUCCUAUUUGACAUAAGUUAAAUAGGGAAAGUCUUUUCUGUGUAGGAUGAGACUAUAUCGUAUCAGCUAGUUGGUAAGGUAAUGGCUUACCAAGGCUAUGACGCGUAACUGGUCUGAGAGGAUGAGCAGUCACAUUGGAACUGAGACACGGUCAAAACUCCUACGGGAGGCAGCAGUAAGGAAUAGUGCGCAAUGGGGGAAAGCCUGACGCAGCAACGCAGCGUGGAGGAUGACAAUUUUCGGAGCGUAAACUCCUUUUAUAAGGAAAGAAUAAUGACGGUACCUGAUGAAUAAGCACCGGCUAACUCCGUG